rnacentral:rRNA from 1 species
ACAGCAGCCGCCGCGGUAAUACGUAGGGUGCGAGCGUUAAUCGGAAUUACUGGGCGUAAAGCGCACGUAGGCGGAUUUUUAAGUCAGGGGUGAAGUCCCGAGGCUCAACCUCGGAACUGCCUUUGAUACUGGAGAUCUUGAGUUCGGAAGAGGUUGGUGGAACAGCUAGUGCAGAGGUGAAAUUCGUAGAUAUUAGCUAGAACACCAGUGGCGAAGGCGGCCAACUGGUCCGAUACUGACGCUGAGGUGCGAAAGCGUGGGGAGCAAACAGGAUUAGAUACCCCCGUAGUCCCUGUUUCUUAUAC